rnacentral:rRNA from 1 species
AUGCUUCUGCAGUUAGUCCUAGCAGCUUGGGAGCUCAACGAUGACUUGUUGAUGGUGGCAAGGCACGAGAGCUGGAUGAUGCAAUACAACCGUGUGUACAAGGACACUACUGAGAAGGCACAUCGAUUUGAGGUGUUCAAGGCCAAUGUGGGGUUCAUCGAGUUAUAUAACACCGAGAAACGCAAGUUCUAUUUGGGCAAACAGUUCACCGACCAAACCAACAAGGAGUUCAAGAUGACAAAGGCUAACAAGGGGUACAAACCAAGCUUGGAGAGGGUUCCUACCGGAUUCAAGUAUGAGAAUGUAAGUCUCGAUGCACUUCCGGACACCAAAGACUGGAGGACCAAAGGUGCAAUUACUCCCAUCAAGGAUGAGGGCCAAUGUGGUGAGUAUAUUAAGGAUAAUGACGUAUUGGAUAUAUGUUUACUUUUUUUUAGAAUGUUGUCUUAUAGUAUCUACCAAUACAUGACCAUGUGUAGGUUGUUGUUGAGCGUUUUCUGUUAUCGCUGCUACAGAGGGCAUCGUUAA